CAGCAGCCGCGGGAAUACAGAGGGUGCGAGCGUUAAUCGGAUUUACUGGGCGUAAAGCGUGCGUAGGCGGCUUCUUAAGUCGGAUGUGAAAUCCCCGAGCUUAACUUAGGAAUUGCAUUCGAUACUGGGAAGCUAGAGUAUGGGAGAGGAUGGUAGAAUUCCAGGUGUAGCGGUGAAAUGCGUAGAGAUCUGGAGGAAUACCGAUGGCGAAGGCAGCCAUCUGGCCUAAUACUGACGCUGAGGUACGAAAGCAUGGGGAGCAAACAGGAUUAGAUACCCCCGUAGUCCCUGUCUCUUAUAC
rnacentral:rRNA from 1 species